rnacentral:rRNA from 1 species
CCCUUAGAUGUUCUGGGCUGCACGCGUGCUACACUGAUAUUGCCAAUAUGUCAUUCUUAUCCGAAAUGGAUUGGGUAAUCAAGUAAUGAAAUUUCAUGCUUGGAAUCGGUAAUUGCAAUUUUAUCGUGAACGAGGAAUUCCUAGUAAGCACUAGUCAUCAGCUAAUGUUGAUUAUGUCCCUGCCCUUUGUACACACCGCCCGUCGCUACUGCUGAUUGGGUGUUCAAGUGAGAUGCUUAGACCCUUGUUGCAUGGUUCAUUAUUGUGCUCCGAAAGGAAAAAGUUUCAAGCUUGAGUGUCUAGAGGAAGUAAAAGUCGUAACA